UUCAGAUUGUUCAUGACGUGAUUGUAAAAUAAAUCUUGUCAUUUCCCAGGGACAAAUGCAAAGGCCAUGGUUCUGUAAACAUUUCUCUUUUGGACAAAUCUGACCUAGGGACCUCGUGGCCAUUUUUUCCAACCACUUCCCAUAUCCUCCAUUGUGUCAGCACAGACCUUAACAUUUAGUUAAGUGAAUUGGGAGCAUGGAAGGAAUCCAACUUAAAACCUAUCAAUUUAGGUUUAUGAAAAUAUGGAAAAUAGAGCACUGAUCUAUGGAGGUGGGGGAUGCUGAGGUUGAAGAGCAUAGCCAAAGAAUGGGGAGCAGAAAUAGCUGGAACUUGCUUUGCAGGGAAGAAAAAAUGUCUGUGCAAGCUUGGCCUAACAUUUUAAGUAAUAAGUGUUUGUUGGCCCAGAUGAUAUUCACUGAAAGAGGCUAGGGAGUGUUCGAACAAGUAUAUCCAGAUCAGAGGGGUGGUAACCUAUUGCAAAGCAAUGCUCACAAGCCCCUGGGCAGACUGAGGGAGGACUCUUCUGUCAACACAGCUGGGUUUGGGAGGAGAUAUGUGUCCACAGACACAACUCCCUGCACUGUCACAGUGUGCACCAAUCUUGCCUCACACCUCGCUCCAAAAUGUAAGGUACUGUGUCUUCCAGCACUACUGUAGUGUGCAGUUUUGCCCUCCCAUGUGCCUGAAGGGGUGAACUGUACCUUAGCAUUUUUAUAACAGACUUUCUUUUGAGGGUAGGUAAUGGAUGUGUUUGGUAACCAGCAGAAGCCAUAGGUACAUCCGAAUACUGGGUGUGAGUGUGUUCUGUCAUUUUACUUGGACGAAUUACAGUAUUUAACUUGGAAUGGCCCACUCAUGUCUUUUGCUUGACUUUCAGGCUCUGAGCUGUGUGAAUUACUGACAUGGGAAUUUAAGAUGUCAUUUAUCAAAAAUCACAUACGUUUUCGUACGUGCAUACCUGUAUCCAAGGUGGGGAAACUACUUAACUGCAGUCUGAAUUUUCCAGUCAGUAUACAAAGUAAUUCACUUCUACUGCCACUAGAGGUAUAACAUUCACUUGAGCAAAUACCAAAGGAAACAUUUGGUUGGAAGCCUUGCCCAUAUUAAUAUUUCAUUUUUCAAAUAAUGCUUUUGAUCUGGAUUUUUUUGUUUUGUUUUGUUUUGGAGGCCUCAUCCUACUUUGCUUUUUCCUGUUGAGAACUCUUUCUUUUACUGAACUAAAGCUAACUAUUUGUGAGAUGGAAGGCCACUUUGUGAUUAGAGGGUGCAGAACUGAGUGCUUAUUUAAGCUGCAUAAAAAGCUAAAUUAGAAUGUCAGUCACCAUAUUGGUCACCUGUGACUGGCUCACAUGCAAGCUUGUACCAGCACAUUUGUAAAUCUUCUUUCACAUUGCUUGUUGUUCUCCUGGGUACUUAUGUUUAUUCUGAAAUGCAAACAUAAAAGAAUAAGAUUUGAAAUUAAUUUCUUUUGUAUCUAUUAUGACCAGCUUUCGUUUAGAUAGAAUCUCCCUUUUGAAACUCAUUAAAACAUCACGAAAGUCCCAUGUCUCUGCCAGGGCUGGCAGGAGGAUUGUGGCCUACCCUGGGAUUUAAUCACAGCUCUGCAGUAUGCGUACUGCUGGAGUGCAGGGCAGGGGAUGGUUCUGAACCGAGCUGUGGGGGUUUCUGUGAGAAAGCAGUGGUUGACUAAAUGAGGACUAACUGCAGCCCUGCUGGUGCACAGCCUCUAACUGUUUGAAGUUGGUAGCCUUUCUUUCAGAGCUUCCGACACACUCAGCAGCAGCCUGCCAGUGCCGUGCUGCAUGCUCACAGGCUGGAAGCAGUGAGUUGCUGGGGGAACUGCCCGCUGUGCCCCUGCACUGCGCAGGCCCCAGCAGCUCUCCUGCUGCAACCUGGCAUUUCCACAUGCUGCAUUGCACCUCCUCCUCACUUUUGCCCGAUGAGCACACUGAUGGCAGCUAAGAAAGAUGAGAGAAUGACAGCUUGAGAGUGAGUGUGGUGAAAGCUGGGUGCCUUGAGCUCUAGCUUGAGCUGCAAUUCCCUUCCAUCGCAGCAAACCCACAAGAGUCUUUCUGCCAUGUUCUCCUUUCAGGACUUGCCCACCUGACUCCUGGCUCAGCAAUGAGAAAUGGAAGUAUAGGAAGUCCCAUGGUGAAUGCUGGAGGGAGAGAGCUCUCUUAAGAGUGAAGUUUAACAGCUAAGGGAACAGUUACAUAAAAAGGAUGAAUGAGCAACAACAAAAGAGGAAGGCUGGGAUCAUAUAAUCUGAAAACUGGAACCACCAUUUAUGAUUUCCUAUUUAGAUAUAUAAGGUGACUGUGAGUGCUUGCCACAUGGUUCAGUUUUAAUUUCUUCUGCCUGUGUUACUUAAUACAAGUGGGAACUGAGGAGAAGGGAAAAGGGGCUGUGUGGUCCUGGUAGGAAUCUACAAAUCAUAAGGACUGAGAUAUUAAAUCUUGAAGGGCACAGUCCAGUAUUAGUGACUCUCAUCCCAGGAGAACCAAGUUGCAGCAGUGCUGGGCAAUUUAGGACACCUUUGCCUUACCACUUACUUUGUAUUUUUUGUUUAGUGUGAUCCAAAGCUGAGAAUACAAAUGCUAUGGAAACCUUGAGUCAUCAGUGGCUCAUCUCAAACUUCUGCUGUGCUUGGCCAUCAUUCUGUUUUUGUGAUCUUUCUUCUUGAAUCUUCAAUCCUGUUUCCUUUCUUAUGCAUAUGUAAAGUCUGUGCUUAGCAUUGGUGACCCACCAUGUCCUGUUCUCUCCCCCACUCUGCUGCUUUCUUCUCCAUUUCCUUUUUGCCCUGCUGCAGAGUGGUAAAAAGAGGGAGCAGGAGGUGUACGUGUUGGGAGGAAAGGAGAUGUUGGAGAAAGGGUAUUGAAAGGAGCAACAGGAAAGGAUGAGAAUGUUUGGGAGUAAGGGACAGCUGCCUGUCAUUGGCACGGGGAUACUACAGAACAUAAAUUGUGCAAAGCUGGAGAAGUAUUGGGGUGGUGAAUGAGCAUGAUGUGAUAUGGGAAAUGGCUGACACAAAUUCCCAGUUAAGUUGGAUUUUCAUUGCAAACACAAUAGAUUUAGUUGAAUAGGGAAUGAUUAAAGUUUGAAAAUGUUUCUGACUGUUCUGAAAUUGUUUGGAAGAGAGCUGGCAUUAUUAUAGCUUUUUAAAAAAGGGUGGACAAAAUCAUAAUUGUCUCUUAUAAUUGUUGCACAUAAAGUUUUUUAUUAAAGUUCCUUUUUUUUUUUUUUAAAUGAAACUGAAUGACUUCAAGGUGGAGUUUGUUUUUUCUUUUGUUUGCAUUUUUUCUUGUCUUUUUGCUCUCUCAGGUAAAUUGCUACUUGCACUUAAUUAUGGAGAGUCGUUGCUUGGAGGCCUUAAUAUGCCUCUACUGUUUUGUAGAGAGUAUCAAAUUAUUACUGGGGACUUUUUUUUUUGAUGGAGAAUGGAGGACAGCUGCAAUGUCUUCCCUUUCAAAACUGAAUAUGAGAAACAGAGGCCACAAUUAAAUGCAAAAACAUAAAUUACAUUUUCCCUUGUUUUAAUGUGAGAUUUGCACUUAACUGGAAAGAGUGACUGCAACAUUCUCUCUACCCAAUUAUUAGUAUCAUUGCUGCAGGGAAAAUGGUGGGAGGGUUGGUUGGAUUAUGCAGCUCUGCCAGAAGUACCUUCUACCUUAAGUGAAAACCGGCCAGAAGAUACAGAAAAGCCAAGGAGGAGAAUGCAGAGAAGUGUUCACUACUCAUUACUAACAUGCAACGCUUGGCCUUGUAG
rnacentral:lncRNA from 1 species